rnacentral:lncRNA from 1 species
GUCCUGGCGAGCUGACUAUAGGUGGUGUUGCAUAGCCAGAGUAGUGGGUACAGAGGAAAUGAAGAAUAACUGUCUUGGUUUAAGAUGGAGAUACGUAGAUGGACUCCAGAGGGAGACGCGAGGAGAGACCAAGGCCACACAGAAGUUUACAGGCAACUGAUUUGGGGAGAGAAAUAAUUUUCAGAGUUAAAGCUGGCAAAGAAACUCCAAGGUGGGAAAUGGACAUAAGUCAAAAGUGCUGUAAAGCACGAGUUCCCAACCCCCCGAACGCAGAGACCCUUUAAUACAGUUCCUCGUGUCCUGGUGAUAACCCCCAACCAUAACGUUAUUUUCGUUGCUACUUUAUAACUGUAAUCUUGUACUCUUAUGAAUCGUAAUGUAACUAUCUGAUAUGCAGG